rnacentral:tRNA from 1 species
GGCGAGAUGGCCGAGCGGUCUAAGGCGCUGGUUUUAGGCGACAGUCUCUUCGGAGGGGUGGGUUCGAAUCCCACUCUCGUCA